ensembl:lncRNA
UGGCAGGAAACACGGCGCCUAAGCGGCUCAAACGCUCAAAAGUUUGGUUAUACUUUACCAGAACGGAUGACAACAGGGCAAUUUGCAAUACUUGCAAAGUAGAUAUUUCAUUUAAGGGAGGAAACACUACGAAUAUGCAAAAGCAUUUGCUCACAAAACACGCGAUGACCUUAAAUGAAUGUCGUGUUUUUAAUUCCGCUCCGGACUCGUGAAUCUCAACCCAGCAGCAGCGGUAACGUUUGCACGUCCUCUCCCGUUAAUGCGGCAGGUGACCGUGAUGAGAGAGACAGACAGUCUGGCUGGCGCUCGCUGGCAGUUGUCGCUGCAGUCCACCGGUAGCGUCUCUUUUCAGGCCCGAAUGUCACCGAGCAGUGACUAAGUUUGUGGUCAAAACCUUGCAGCCAUUUGCCACAGCAGAUGUUCAAACAGAAGCUGAAGAAUAACGGUGUGAAAGGAGGCAUCGAACUGAGCUGGAGGAAGCAGUCAGACGGGGAGGUCUUCCACAGGGAUGAAAAGGAAACAAAGAACACAGCCUGAAAUAACGAGUUUUAAAUGUUGAUCAGGGCGCGUGUAUUGUUUUUGUUUUGUUAUUUUCAGCGCAUUGUGUUCUGCGUCCUGAUUGGCUGUAGACCAUUGUCAAUCAAUCUCGUGCCCUGUCUCCUGUACAGUACAGAAUGCGUUCAGCUUGUCAAAUUUACAUAAAUCUUCGAUCACUAGCAGUGUGACUCUGAAGUGCUGCGCUGUAUGUUUGUACGUUUCUCCCUAACAAACAAGAAUGUCAGCCAAACGUUUUGCACCACCAAAGGCAACCACAGGUGCCUUUGGUUUCAUUCUAUAAUACUGGCCUUAUUUUUCUAUGAAGGUUUGAACUUUGAGUGUUUAAACAAGAGAGAAGUGUGAAAAUGUUCAUGCCUGUCUGAGAAAAGUGUAUAAAGUGUGUAGUGAAGAGUUUUACAGCCUUAAAACAUCUAUAAUAAUUGUAAAAAAAUUAAGUUGUCUACUUCGCAGAUUUCACCUAUCGCGGGUUAAUUUUAGAACGCAACUCCUGCGAGGGACCACUGUACUGUUAUUUUACAUUUAGGGGAUUGAUUUUUUUGUGUCUGUCUGGAUUCAUCAUUUGAUAUCUUUAUUCUGGUAGAUUGCAAUCUGUGUUUAUUAUGACAUCACUGAGACUUUAACUUUUGUUUUCCUGUGUUCUGGUUUAUGUCUGUUAGUAGGAGUUUUUAGUUUCUUACAGGUAUCUGUGACUGUUCCUCCCUCAGUCUCAUGUCUGUGUUCAUAUCUCAGCACUCCGGUGUUCUCUACUCAGGCAUCUUAUUAAGUGUUAGGAAAUAGACAAGAGAACUAACACAGACCUGUAUACUGUUUAAAAUUGAAAAAAAAUUAAAGUUGAUUUUUUUUAAAUGUUUUGUUAGUUUCACUUCCUGCUGUUUGGUUACUCUGACUGUAUUCACACUCAGCGUCUG